GAGAAGUGUUUGAAGAGUGUAGGAGUGGCAGCCCGAGGGUGAAAGAGACGCACAAGUGGAUCCUAAAGUCCUUCCCGGAGAGGGACUGCCCGGAGGGAAGGGACAGAGUGCACGGAGUCAGAGCGGGCGGCUGCCACCGUCGCCGCCACUCUGGGAGACCGCUGGACCUGGUCAGACUGACCGGACGUGAUGGGCCCGCGGCCCGAGCCUCGCUGACGGCCGGCGGUGGGAGGAAGGACUCGGAGCUGCCUGCAGGGUUGGGGUGAUGCAGAGAGGCAGGCAGUUUCCUGCACCCAGCACCUAAGUAGCCGGGGUCGGUGCACCCCGCGGGGACGGCGCGGGCUCCGAGCGUGGCCCAUGUCCGGCGCGGGUGAAGCCCUCCCUCCAGGGCCCGUGGGGCAGCAGUGCCCAGCCGAGGCGGGCGGUGGCCGGCUGGGCUCCCCAGCCCACGAGUGUAAUGAAGACACUACCGAGAAAGAAAAAAGACAAACUACCAGUAGCCACACUAGGUGUGGGCUGAUUCGGGACCAGUCCAUUUGGAGAAAUCCUUCAGAUGGCGAACUUGUCAGAACCCAACCUGAGCGUCUGCCUCAACUGCAGACAUCAGCACAGGAGCCCAGCAAGGAGGAAACCAGCAAGAUACAGAAUGGUGGCCACACAACUAUGAACAAUGGGAAUGGAAUUCCUCACAGAGCCAAACAUAUGUCUAUGGAUAAUCACAAAAUGUCAUCUCCUGUCUCUCAGAAAAUGCAUAGAAAAA
rnacentral:lncRNA from 1 species